rnacentral:lncRNA from 1 species
CCUAGCCCCCCUCCAUCUUCGCCUCAAGCCGCUCUCCUUCUCAUCCUCCGACGCCCAUAACCCGAAUCCUAGAGUCCAUUAUCUUGUUCUCUUCCUUACCGUCUCUCUCUAGAUGCUGGUAACGCGGCGUCGAGAUGCGGGGCGCACCGUGCCCUCGCCAUGGCCGAACGCUUCCUGAGACCAGCCAAAGCUAUCAUGGAUCGCAUGACCGAGCGGAUUCUUCAACUCUCCUCACGAAGACCGCUCUUGUAAUUGAUCCGAUAUUCUCUCCCCCCCCAACCCCUUCUCUAUUACCUAUUUUAUGGAUUUUAUUCUCUAUAUGUUUUCUAUUGGGUCGUGCCAGCUGUAGAUUCGUUGAGAUUUCUAGGGUUUUUUUCCGAUCCGUGAGCUUUCGUUUGAUUCGAAUUUUUUUUCCUCCUUUAAUAUUGGAUUAUAUGUUGGUUAUUUUUUUACGAUUUGGAAUUAUCUUUUUCUUCAAAGUACUUUCGAAUUGGAUCCGCGGUGAAGCUGUAAAGACCGAGCAUAGUCAGGUAUCUGCCGGAGAUCAAGAUCCAAUGGCUGAUACAGUUACAUGCUCGGGAGAUCGAGGCCGCCUAUCGUUACACGCGCUGCCACUUCUAAAUGCAGUCGCGUGUUCCAUUUGGGCUCCACAUUGUUUUUUAAAUAAGGCUCUAAUGCUUUUUAUAAUUUUUUUGAAUUUUUGAAAACGGAGGUGUCUCGAGUUGAUUGUAUCACGCACUGACGCAAUUGUCCAUCUAAACAGAGGUCUUGUUUCCAAGCAGACGCCUCUAAUUAACUUCUUUUAAGAUUCUUCAGGAGUUGAGAGAGGGUAUACAACUUUCUUCUUCCAAAUUACAAGGACCCUUACUUCCUUCUACUUUCAAAAGGACUAUAUGCUUGUAUUGUUUUCGAACCAAUUGAUUUAGGAUAAACGCCAGUCCAAGAAAAGCAGUAGCCAAUGCUAGAUUACGUGAGCUUGGGUCUAAACUGCCCUCAUUUUGGGCUCGGGCUUGGACUUGGGUUUAAACGGUCCUCAUUUUGGACUCAGGCUCGGGUUUGUUUGACUAAUGAGCCGAGCUUUUACCAAACGAGUUCGAGCAGCUUGGCUCGUUAACAGGUCUAAUAACACUAGUGUUGUCUAUUUCUUGUGCUACAUACUUACAAUUGCCCAACGAUGAGAUGCACGAGCUUUCCAUGCUGUCUGAUCGUCUGAAAUUUGUUAGUCUUCCUGCUUAGCUUUUAUUAGACACUAACCACAGAAGCUGAAGUGAGGUUAAAGCUGGAUUUGACUAUUCUCAAAAUGUUUUCUGCGUGGCUAUACUCGAAUUAAUUUUCAAUCCGAGCUGGUCAGGUCUCUGUUGGAUAAUAAGGAAUUCACAUUGAUGAUCAAAAUUAUUAUAUGAAUUGAAAAUUUCGAGUCUACUCAUCAAGCGAUAAAAGAACAUAUAUAAUUUAGUGUUCUCUAGAUUAUCCAUUUCUAGGCUACUUGAUGCAUGGAAUGGAUUCAAAGUAUUUGAGUUUGGGUAUUGUAAGCAAUUUUGAGGUUGUUGACCAUAUCUCACUAUCUAAUCUAGAUCCGACUGGAUUCAUUUUAGUGUAACCUAAUCUAGCUUCCUUUCUUUCUCUAUAUCUCUCUAUAUUUGCAUGUAUCUGUGCAUAUGUGUAUAUAUAAUUAUAUAUAUAUAUAUGUAAAUGUAUAUGUAUAUUUAUUUAUUAUAUCAAAAGCUUAGCAACUUACAAAGUGGUCUCAAUAGAGAAGCAACCUCUAGAAUUCCUACUCCAUAUUUCAGAAUGUUCAUGGAUUAUUGGCCUAACAAUGUUAGAGGUUAGCACUAAGUCUCCUCUCAAUAGCUUUGGAAAAGUUAUGAUUUUUGUGAAAAGUUUGUUACUUUGAUAAGGAGUUUAUAAAUGGUUAAUUUAUUUUCCUACAAUAUUGAAAUGUUUGAAAUGGACUUAAUUAAUAUUGGAAAACCUUCCCUUGAAUUGCUCAAUCAAAACAUUAAAAUGAUUUACUUAUGAUGCACAGUGAAGAAGUAUCUCCUUGCUUAAAUGAAUGCUUUUUUGUUGGACAUCACAUGUCUGAUCUGCGUCUUUUGAUUACUGUUAUAUGUUAACCUAUAUCGACCUGAAUUGUAAUUUUAAUCAAAUAAAUUUUUCUAGAUCUGGAAUCCUAGAUUUGGACGAAGCCAUGGUCAAUUUGACCAGGAGCUCAUGUGACCCAUGUGAUUUUGGCACAACGGUUAUUAAUUAAACAACAGACUUUUGUAUCCCGUAUAGCAUAGCAUACACCAACACCCUGUGCGAAUUGACCCAGCUAGUGACUAUAUGAAUCCGUGAGUUCGGACAAUGAAACUAUUUUCAGUUUUCUGUUUACUGUUGAAUAUUAUAAUAUAUUCACAGCUAUACAAAAUAUGUUACCUUCUUAUAAGGAAAAAUUAUACAAAACUGGCACGCUGUAGUGGCCCAGACACGGGUUUUAGCCUAGUAGAUGAGUACGUUGGAAACAAAAUUUAUACAAAACAAGAAUAGCUGGGUUACUGUAGUGUAUUUCGCUGUGUCAGAGAUAUUCGGUCUGUGGCCUGCAUUCAUUGUCUGCUUUCUGACCCAAUUGAGAGGAAGAGGUGGUCAUGCGUCACACGUGACUUAUCCGAGUCGGUAUGGAGCAAUCGCGCGCCAUGGUUGUGAUAUUGUGGUCCCAUUUUACUCUCAGUAAACGUAACUCGGUGUAACUCUGUGUUUGGGUUAUAAUUGCAGGAAUUAUACAUCAUUAACAAAACUGUCGCAAUUUUGAAGCAGUGAAAUAUUGCUAAAUAUGUAGCGAAAGGUAGGCCUAAAGGGAGGCCAAUCUCAUCAGAAGAAAAGGAUAGGGAAUCGUAAUAUUUUAUUCACAAUAUGGAUCUUAAUAUAAAUUUACUUGUCUCAUGUUUGGCCCAUGGUUGAAGUAAUUUCUUCUAGAUAUUGAAGUUUGAUAUUACUUUUUUUUUUGGUACAUCGGCAUUUCACACAACACUCAUGUAUGUACAACCGACAAAGUCAAAAAAAAGUUGACGAAGAAAGUAAGGAACGUUCACUUGUUUAAUCCAG